rnacentral:rRNA from 1 species
UACAGAGGUCCCAAGCGUUGUUCGGAUUCACUGGGCGUAAAGGGUGCGUAGGCGGCGCGGUAAGUCGGGUGUGAAAUCUUGGAGCUUAACUCCGAAACUGCAUUCGAUACUGCCGUGCUUGAGGACUGGAGAGGAGACUGGAAUUUACGGUGUAAGCGGUGAAAUGCGUAGAUAUCGUGAAGGAAGACCAGUGGCGAAAGGCGGGUCUCUGGACAGUUCCUGACGCUGAGGCACGAAGGCCAGGGGAGCAAACGGGAUUAGAGU